CAGUGGCGAACGGGUGAGUAACACGUGGGCAAUCUGCCCUGCACUCUGGGACAAGCCCUGGAAACGGGGUCUAAUACCGGAUAUUACCUUCCCCUGCAUGGGGGUUGGUGGAAAGCUCCGGCGGUGCAGGAUGAGCCCGCGGCCUAUCAGCUUGUUGGUGGGGUAAUGGCCUACCAAGGCGACGACGGGUAGCCGGCCUGAGAGGGCGACCGGCCACACUGGGACUGAGACACGGCCCAGACUCCUACGGGAGGCAGCAGUGGGGAAUAUUGCACAAUGGGCGAAAGCCUGAUGCAGCGACGCCGCGUGAGGGAUGACGGCCUUCGGGUUGUAAACCUCUUUCAGCAGGGAAGAAGCGAAAGUGACGGUACCUGCAGAAGAAGCACCGGCUAACUACGUGCCAGCAGCCGCGGUAAUACGUAGGGUGCGAGCGUUGUCCGGAAUUAUUGGGCGUAAAGAGCUCGUAGGCGGCCUGUUGCGUCGGUUGUGAAAGCCCGGGGCUUAACCCCGGGUCUGCAGUCGAUACGGGCAGGCUAGAGUUCGGUAGGGGAGAUCG
rnacentral:rRNA from 1 species